CCCAUGCGUCCUUUCUCCUGUCUCUCGCGCUGGUGGUGUCUGGGCCUGGAACCACGAGUCCGGUGCCCUUAGCCGUCUUAGCUUGCUUCCAUGGGCCCGCGCUCGUUCGGGCUGCCUCUAGAGACUGCGGGAUGUAGAGUGCCUGGCCGCGCGUCUUGGCCUGGGCUACAGGCCACGACGGCCGCCUGCGCAGUGUGACGGGUCGGCACCCGCGGGGCGGUGUCCUUUUCCCGUCUUUGCUGGCGCAGCCGUACGCUGGCGCCUGACCCGUGGAUGAGGCGAGCGGGCGGCCCGGUGCUGGAAACGAGUUGGCCAUGCCAGAUCAAGAUGCUAUGAAGAUGGUGGCGAGUGAGGGUCAUGGUGAUGAAAUGCGACAACUUCAGGACUUGGUUGCCCCCAGGUUUCCUGGAAGUGUGUGAUAUUGAAGAGUGAAAAGACCAGCUUGUUUCUGGAGUUGUGCUUUAGAUUAAGGUCUUUGUAACCAGAAAGUUGUCUUCAUCUGUGAUAAUUGGCUACAGAGUUGGGAAAACACCAUGGGAAGGAAGAUGCAGACAAAAAGGUGACCAGUUAUUAAAGAAGAAAACGGUAGCUUUGUAAGCAGAUUUUUUUCUUUGUAAAUGCUGUGAUAUGUAGCUAUCGGUAAGCAAUAAAGCGUUUUGGAAAUGUUUGUCCCUCA